rnacentral:rRNA from 1 species
UACGUAGGGGGCAAGCGUUAUCCGGAUUUACUGGGUGUAAAGGGUGCGCAGACGGCGAUGCAGGCCAGGAGUGAAAGCCCGGGGCCCAACCCCGGGACUGCUCUUGGAACUGCGUGGCUGGAGUGCAGGAGGGGCAGGCGGAAUUCCUGGUGUAGCGGUGAAGUGCGUAGAUAUCAGGAGGAACACCGGUGGCGAAGGCGGCCUGCUGGACUGCAACUGACGUUGAGGCCCGAAAGCGUGGGGAGCAAACAGG